AAUGCAGCAUUACCCCAAAUCCCCGUCUCUGCCUCUCUGAAAGUCAAAGGUCAACCUUUCAACAGAGCUCCGCCUCCGCCCCACUUACCCUUGUAGCAGAGAUCGAAAUACAAAUGCAAAACCUUCUCUCUCUCUAUUACACUCAUCAAAUUCCUUCUUGAUCUUCAAAUGGCGGUGCCGGUAGCACGCUUUCCUAUCUUCCAGGUGGUCAGAAUCAUCGGAGUUACAGUCCUCUUACUCCUCUUAAUUUGGACUCUGCAUUACAGAGGCGGCUUGGCCCUCAUUUUCGAGAAUAAAGAUCUCAUCUUCAAUGUAAAUCUCGCUUCUCUUCUUUCUUUUGUUUCAUGGCUUUUCUUCAUUGAGGAUCAAUCUCGUUUCCUUUUCAUAUUUAUUUCAGGUUCAUCCUGUAUUAAUGGUGAUUAGCCUUGUGCUCCUCAAUGGCGAAGGUAUAGACUUCAUUGUAGGAUGAAAUUGAGUUCUAAUUUGUCGAUAUUAACUCUAAUUGUUGACUGAUUAGGACCCUGCAAGUAGCCAUCUAGAGACUGCAUUUUGUUUGCGAACUAUUGUUUUUGUUUAAUUUGUUGUCGAUACUCUUUUCAAUUAUGUUAACGAUGUUUGAUUUGAUCAGCAUCUGCCUAUGUCUUUAACUUUUUUUUUUUUGUGCUUGGUAAUGGCAAAGUAAUUAGCCUUGCUGGGGUAAGGAAACUACAUCAUUUUUAUUUUUUUUGAAUGGUCUUAGGGAGUGUUUCGCUAAGCUUAUUUUAAAGAGCUUAUAAGAUAUACUAGUUUUUUAUGAGCUUAUAAGUUGUCAAACUGUUUGUAUAAUUGAGCUUAUAAGCUAGAGAGAGAUUUUACACUUAAAGAGAGAAAAUCUUUGUUAGAGAGAGAAAAUCGAAGAGAAAUGAAAUUAGAAAUGAUAUAUGAUGAAAAUAAAAAGCAUAGUUGAGUUAUUUUUGUAAAAUGAGUGUUGCUUAUAAGAUAAUGAGAAAAUGAGUUGGGGUAGAGGAACUUAUUUUUUGGAGAGCUUAUUUUUACAGUUUAUAAACUCUUUAUAAGCUUAUUUUGCCAAAUACUUUGAAUAAGCUUAUAUCCUGUUUUAAAUAGCUUAUGAGCUCAACCAAACACCCUCUUACUGCAGUUGAGUGUGAAUAGUAGAAUUGAGAUAGUUUUGAUCUGUAGUCCAAUUAUAAGCUAUACUGCCCUGAAAAAUUAUAAUUUUCAUACUGAACUGCUUUGAAUAUUUGAGACCUUUUGUAUUAUUAACAUUAGGCUUUAUCAUACGAAAUGUUUUGCACUCUACUCAACCUAGGAAUUGUUGCUCUUCGAUACAUCAAUAUUAGAUGAUAUCUUCUUCUAGUUGUUAAAUUGUUAUACAGCAAGCUUGUGUUUGUUAAAUUUUGUCCUGUAAAUGCACUAGUUUCUGGCGAUCAUAUAUAUAUAUAUAUAUAUAUAUAUAUUUGGACAAAUUUAACUUAAAUGAUAAAGAAACAAUGAACAUUAGUUGAUUAAUCUGCUAGAUUUGUGUCGUAUGUUUAUAUUUAACGAAAUGAAUGUAACUUUAUUUUUCUUCUUCUCCUAGCAUUUUGUGUGAAUAUUCCUCUGGCCAUUAUAAUUGUUUCAUGUCUUGCUUGGACAUCUCAUAUAUGAAAAUGUGUAUUCAUCUGCCGGUGUAUAUGCAAGCUUGCUGGCAGAUUACUUACAUGUUUGCCCCUAUUUUAACUGUAAGCCUUUGAAAUAUAUUUCAAUUGCUUAUCAUAGAUUCUUGCAGCCAUGCUAGCAUACAAGACUGUGUCUGGAACAAAAAACUUCAAAAAGACAGUUCAUCUUUUCCUGCAAUUCCUGGCAUUCUUCUUAAGCAUCAUCGGACUAUGGGCUGCAUGGAAGUUUCACGUUGAUAAAGGCAUUGAUAACUUCUACAGCCUCCACUCGUGGCUGGGGCUAGCCUGCCUCGUCUUAUUUGGAAUUCAGGUGGUCGUUAGGUUCUGUUUUGGAUCGAGUUACUCAGUAAUUCUCUGUUGGCACAAGUGUUUAACAUCCUUCCAAUUUCAUCUGUAGUGGGCGACUGGAUUUGUGACCUUUUGGUAUCCCGGUGGAUCAAGACAUAACCGAUCAAGCCUGAUGCCGUGGCAUGUAUUUCUUGGGAUAUACAUUUACACUCUAGCGGUAGCUACUUGUGCCACUGGUCUUCUGGAGAAGGCAACGUUUCUACAAACACAGAAGAUAAUAUCACGUUACUCGGCUGAGGCAUUGCUGGUGAAUUCUUUGGGGAUCUUAAUUGUUGUUUUGGCAGGUUUUGUGAUUCUUGGGGUGGUCUCUCCUGUGCAUGGGAAAGGUGAAAACCCCAAAGGGAUUGCAGAGGAAUAGCCGCAAGAUCGAUUGGCCAUUGAAACUUUGGUUCAGACUUGAAAUUUUAUAGCACAUUCAAAAUCACAUUUAUUGAGGAUCAAACAAUGGCAAGUAGUUGAUUCAUUGUGACUGUUUGUAAUGCACAGUUUCUCUUUUGAUAUGUGAACUUUUAACAGAAGUCUUGUUACACAAACAUCUUUGAUAUAACUCAUCUCUAAAGACUGGUUAUGAUUAUUAAGGAGAAGGUGCGGUAGGUGUUAUAAUGCGAUGUGGGAUGCACUUGAAUUAUAACAAACCACCGCGUUUCUGAUCCGACGGCCCUCUUUGGCUCUCUCAGGUCGCUCCUUUUGCUACGUGGACAGGAAUGUGAGACCGGCCUUUAUACCAAAAAUGUUACAACACUUUAGAUAGAACUUAUACCUUAAAAAUGAGUCUUAACGAGAGAGUAUUCAAGGUGUUAUUAUACAUCAAAUGCUCAGCCUAUACAUAAUUGUAUUUUAUCCAAAGGUCCUUAUAGAUAAAACUUAGAUAGAACUUAUACAUAAUUGUAUAUUAUCCGAAAAUGUUACAACACCUUAGAUAGAAUUUAUACCUAAAAAAUGAUUCUUAACGAGAGAGUAUUCGAGGUGUUAAUUGAAUGCCCAAUCAUCUAUUCAAACUAACUAUACCGAUCAAGAAAGCAUGUUUUUUUAUGCAUUGCAUAAAAGCACAUUGUUGCCCUUCAUCCAACAUCAAAAUUUCAUAAAGUAAUUUCUUCUUCAAUGCAUAGGAGAGUUUGAGGGUUUUUUUUAAAAAUUGUUUUAAUAUCUGUAAUUUUGGAAAAGGACAUGUAACAUGGGCCAAUAAGCUUCCAAGAUCAAUGGGCUUAAACUGCCUUCAUCAAGGGUAAUUCUAUUCAUAGCCCUAAUUUUACUCCUCGUAGCCUUUAAUUUAAUAAAAUAUUAAUUAAAAGACUAUUUCAUCCUUAUUAUCUCUAAUUAAUCCCUUCAAGUAGUCUCUCCACGGUGCCGCCUUUGCAGAUUUCUCCGCCAUCAUCUCCAACCUCGCACUUUGCUCUACCAUCCUCAAUUGGUGUCGCCGCCACCAGCCCCCGAUCCCCCUCAACUUCUACUUUGUCGAGAAAAUCUUCUGCCAAUUGAUGCCCUCGCCACCUCCACCACCUGAUUUAACUAAAUUUGGCCCAUGAAGUUUGUGAAAUUCUCAAAGUGAAGACAAACAGUGGGAAGAGUCCCUUCAAAAUCGUUUCUUUGGAGAGGAUAUUGCACUUUCUGAAGUUGCCCACCUAGUGUUCAACAAAAUUCAUGACUGCAUAUUGGGUCUUAAGUUCUAGGAUUUCAUCUCUCAUAACAGUUAUGAAUGGGUUUGCUUAUUCCUCAUUUUUGAAGCUCUUGGCUCAGUCUAGAGUCUUCGCAGAAAUUGACAUGAGUGUUUGCAUUUUGAAGAGAAGCGGCCUACUGAUCACGAGGCUUUAGGCGUUUGUAAUUACUCCAUCUCAAAGUGUAAAAUGAGGGCUACAAAUAGAAUCACCCAUUACUCUUGAACCAAUCUUUCAACCUCUAAUUUAAUUUAAAGCCCAUUUAACUUCCUAAUAGGUUGCCCUUUCUACUUAAAUAAUUAUCCGAUAAUUCUUGUUUUAUUUUUAAUAGAGAAAAAAAACGAAUUAAAAAAAAAAAACAGCCGCCGUCAUCUUCUAUUCUUCUCCCCUUCCAAUUUCCAUAAACCCCUAAUCCUCACCUGAAACCCCUACCACACUAGUACCAGUGCGGCGGUACCAGUUAAACAACCCAGCCGCCACCGCCACCUCUCCUCCGCCGCCCCCUCGUGCCCAGCCAGAAGAGCCCGCAGGCCGCAGCCGCCUCGCCCAGCGCCGCAAGCACGCAGGACCAGCUCUGCUCUGCGCCGCCGCCCUCAGACGCAUUGGAAUCUCAGACUAAGGUAGGUAAAUAAUUUUCUCCCUUGGCUUCAAUUUUCUUUGCUAUCGCAUUCGCAAAUCGCAAUUUGACAAAAUGGUGAAACCAAACUAGUAUUGGAAUUGGAAUUCUUUUUUCCUUACGGUAUUUUGAUGUGGCAGUCUCUGGAUUCCACUUUUGUUUUAUAUGUUUAAAUUUGCGAGCUUCAGAAUUUUGAAAGGAAUGAAGCUCGUUGCUCAACAAAAGAAUUUCGAGUCGACAAAAAUACUUUGACAAAAUAUAGCAAAGCGACGUCGCUUUUUUAUAUUCCUUCCUUCUAAAUGCGGCAUUUCCCCAAAUCUCCCGUCUCUGCCUCUCUGAAAGUCAAAGGUUCAAUCUUUCAACAGAGCUCCUCCGCCUCCGCCCCACCUACCCUGUGGCAGAGAUCGAAAUACAAAUGCAAAACCUUCUCUCUCUCUAUUACACUCAUCAAAUUCCUUCUUGAUCUUUCAAAUGGCGGUGCCCGUAGCACGCUUUCCUAUCUUCCCGGUGGUCAGAAUCAUCGGAGUUACAGUCCUCUUACUCCUCUUAAUUUGGACUCUGCAUUACAGAGGCGGC
rnacentral:lncRNA from 1 species